AACCGUCAAUUCAUUUAAGUUUUAGCCUUGCGGCCGUACUCCCCAGGCGGGGUGCUUAAUGCGUUAGCUUCGGCACGGACGGGGUCGAUAUCCGCCCACACCUAGCACCCAACGUUUACGGCUAGGACUACCAGGGUAUCUAAUCCUGUUCGCUCCCCUAGCUUUCGCGCCUGAGCGUCAGGUAAGGCCCAGAGAUCCGCCUUCGCCACCGGUGUUCCUCCUGAUAUCUGCGCAUUUCACCGCUACACCAGGAAUUCCGAUCUCCCCUACCUACCUCUAGCCGGGCAGUAUCGGAUGCAGGCACGAGGUUGAGCCUCGUGUUUUCACAUCCGACUUACCAAGCCGCCUGCGCGCUCUUUACGCCCAAUGAAUCCGGACAACGCUCGCCUCCUACGUCUUA
rnacentral:misc_RNA from 1 species